rnacentral:rRNA from 1 species
ACGGAAGGCAGCAGUGAGGAAUAUUGGUCAAUGGGCGAGAGCCUGAACCAGCCAAGUCGCGUGAAGGAUGAAGGUUCUAUGGAUUGUAAACUUCUUUUGUUCGAGGGUAAAGUGAGGGAUGCGUCCCUUAUUGCAAGUAUCGAACGAAUAAGCAUCGGCUAACUCCGUGCCAGCAGCCGCGGUAAUACGGAGGAUGCGAGCGUUAUCCGGAUUUAUUGGGUUUAAAGGGUGCGUAGGCGGGAUGUUAAGUCAGCGGUGAAAGCGUGUAGCUCAACUAUACCAAGCCGUUGAAACUGGCGUUCUUGAGUGUAAACGAGGUAGGCGGAAUGUGACGUGUAGCGGUGAAGUGCUUAGAUAUGUCACAGAACCCCGAUUGCGAAGGCAGCUUACCAGCAUACAACUGACGCUGAGGCACGAAAGUGCGGGGAUCAAACAGGAUUAGAUACCCUGGUA